CUAGAAGGGAAACAGCUGAGUCGAAUGGAAUGGGGCUUUCUGUUCAUCCUUUCUCUCAGAGGAGGUUUUGCCAGCCUUUUGAGUUUGCCUCUUUGCCUUUCCAAAGAGCAGAGCUUGCACUGCUUGGUGCUAUUUGCCAUCUCUGGAGACUGCCUCGGAACACUGCUUGGUUGGCAUUUUGAGCAAACAGCUGGUGUGCAGAACUCCGUCCCAGGCGUGGUUUGGAGGCGGUGGUGGAAGAGCAUUCAGAGGGGCUGGCAUGAGGAGUGGACAGGCUCUGGGUGCUGGCUUUUGUCCCCUGGAUGGUCAGCACUUGUCAGCUGGCACCCACCGACUGUGGGCAGUCACAGAGGCCCCUGGGCACUGUCCUCGAGACAGCAUUUCCCUCUUCUCCCUGUUUCCAGCCGAAGGCUCCUGGAGGGCUCAGAACAGUGAGGAGUCCCAUCCUCUGGGGGCCACAGGGACACCUUGAGGAGAGCUAGCUGUGCCUCAGCUUGAGAAGUUGGCUGACUGUCUCAUAAGCCAGCUGUCCUUGUCACAGAGGCCUUGAAGUUGUAUGAGGUUGAUAUAUCCAGCAUUGAAUCACACUCGUUACUUAGAAUUUAGAGGGAGCCAGUGUUUGUGUUGGGACCUGGGCUGGAAGAGAAGCAAGUGUAGGAACAGGGGCAUCUGAUGCCCCUUAGAAACCUUUCUAUACUCUGAUAAGUGGACCAUGAGCUAGAAUUUUGGCUUGAAUUCUAAAUGAAAUUAAAGACAGCCUGUGCUUCUGCUCAGGGUGGAGGACAGAAACCUUACUGGAAAGAGGACCUACACCCUAGCCGGCUGCUGACAGCUACCAUCUCUACCCUGUGAAGCCAGAUCCCUUAGCAUGAGCUUCUAGAGCCACCUGGUUGCCAGGGAGGAAGACACCAUUUCCUUGAGUCUGGCUGGCCUCUGGACACUGUCACCGGUGGGUGCUCUAGUGCCAAGUGAGCUCACUGAUGUCUGCAGCCCAGCAUCUGGAUCCUUCCUACACAUCAAGGGUCUACCCCUUCCUGCCUGCGGCCUAGG
rnacentral:lncRNA from 1 species